UUUAGGCUAUCCCAUUUAAGUAAGGAAAAGUUUAUUUAUUUAUUUAUUUUUUAUCUUUUCCUUUUUCUUUUCUAUUUCCCCCUAAUCGCCGUUUCCCUUUUGCCCUAACCUGCGCCAUCUUUUCUCCGACGCUCUCCUCAGCCGCCGCCCACACACACCUUCGACGAUCCAUCGCCGGCAGUCGAUCCCUUCCUUUUUCUCUCUUCUGCCGAUGCUGACGACGCCAGGGAACAGAGAGCGAGCGAUUUGUGUAUCUCCUUCCUUCCCGAGCCGCACACCCAACACCACUGCCGCCUUCCUCUUCCUCUCCUCCCGACGUUUAGCAGCGCCGAAGCCUCUUCUCCUCACCAACGUUAAGCCCUAGUUCUGCCUCUUCCCUAGCGCUGACGUAGUUCCGUGGCUACAACCGAUCGCAGGCAGAGAGGAUAUGGAGUAGGUAAGGUAUGUUAGGUAUUUGGAUUACGAUUGGGGGUCUUGUGCUGUACGAAUUUGGCUAAUCACUGUGGUAGUGAAUGUUUUCCCGCAGCACUGUUUGAUCUCCGACAACAGGUAGAUUCCAACAGCAGCUUCUUUAAUCGGGUGUCUACAAAGGUGUCACUGGAAUUAGGUCUUCUGGCAGCAGUUUCUCCUAGCUUCAACCAUGGUUUACCAAUGGCAAGUUUCUUCGGUUGUGAGCCUACAAAUGAGCAUCCAAAUUUGGGAAGUUGAUUUGAGACAAGCGCCUCGAUGUGGGAAGUGUAUUGGCACGAUUUUUCGCAAUGAAGG